rnacentral:tmRNA from 1 species
GCCGGGCAACCGGCUAUGACGCUAAACGCCACACGGAAUAGACGUUACGGACCCGGGGGCGGUACCCGGCGCCUCCACCA